rnacentral:misc_RNA from 2 species
AACGCACCUUGCGCCCUUUGGUAUUCCGAAGGGCACACCUGUUUGAGUGUCAUUAAUUCCUCAACCCUGUCAUUUUAUUAAUGGAAUGGCAAUGGUUGGAUGCUGAGUGUUGCUGGAUUUUCAGUUCAGCUCACUUUAAAUUUAUGAGCAGGCUCCUAUCGUUUUCGGACUGACUCAACGUAAUAAGAAAUUUCGUUGAGGACGCUUGACUGCGGCCGAAUUGUAGGGAAAUGCCGCUACUAGUUGACCCUUAUAUUUUAGACCUCAAAUCAGGUGGGACUACCCGCUGAACUUAA